rnacentral:snoRNA from 1 species
AGCCCGUGAGUUGGGCAUUGACGUAGGAGUUUCUUGAACCUCAACCGCGUUUCAUGGAUGGGUUCACCUUCCAAUCGCUUAAAACAUUAAAUGUUAUCUCUGAGUUU